UACAGAGGUCUCAAGCGUUGUUCGGAUUCAUUGGGCGUAAAGGGUGCGUAGGCGGCGCGGUAAGUCGGGUGUGAAAAUCUCGGAGCUUACCUCCGAAACUGCAUUCGAUACUGCCGUGCUUGAGGACUGGAGAGGAGACUGGAAUUUACGGUGUAGCGGUGAAAUGCGUAGAUAUCGUAAGGAAGACCAGUGGCGAAGGCGGGUCUCUGGACAGUUCCUGACGCUGAGGCGACGGAAAGCGUGGGGAGCAAACGGG
rnacentral:rRNA from 1 species